UGGCGCGUGCUAUACAUGCAGUCGAGCGGACAGAUGGGAGCUUGCUCCCUGAUGUUAGCGGCGGACGGGUGAGUAACACGUGGGUAACCUGCCUGUAAGACUGGGAUAACUCCGGGAAACCGGGGCUAAUACCGGAUGCUUGUUUGAACCGCAUGGUUCAAACAUAAAAGGUGGCUUCGGCUACCACUUACAGAUGGACCCGCGGCGCAUUAGCUAGUUGGUGAGGUAACGGCUCACAAGGCAAGAUGCGUAGCCGACCUGAGAGGGUGAUCGGCCACACUGGGAGGGACUGAGACACGGCCCGACUCCUACGGGAGGCAGCAGUAGGGAAUCUUCCGCAAUGGACGAAAGUCUGACGGAGCAACGCCGCGUGAGUGAUGAAGGUUUUCGGAUCGUAAAGCUUGUUAGGGAAGAACAAGUACCGUUCGAAUAGGGCGGUACCUUGACGGUACCUAACCAGACCACGGCUAACUACGUGCCAGCAGCCGCGGUAAUACGCAGGUGGCAAGCGUUGUCCGGAAUUAUUGGGCGUAAAGGGCUCGCAGGCGGUUUCUUACGUCUGAUGUGAAAGCCCCCGGCUCUACCGGGGAGGGUCAUUGGAAACUGGGGAACUUGAGUGCAGAAGAGGAGAGUGGAAUUCCACGUGUAGCGGUGAGAUGCGUAGAGAUGUGGAGGAACACCAGUGGCGAAGGCGACUCUCUGGUCUGUAACUGACGCUGAGGAGCGAAAGCGUGGGGAGCGAACAGGAUUAGAUACCCUGGUAGUCCACGCCGUAAACGAUGAGUGCUAAGUGAGGGGGUUAGGGGGUUUCCGCCCCUUAGUGCUGCAGCUAACGCAUUAAGCACUCCGCCUGGGGAGUACGGUCGCAAGACUGAAACUCAAAGGAAUUGACGGGGGCCCGCACAAGCGAGCAUGUGGUUUAAUUCGAAGCAACGCGAAGAACCUUACCAGGUCUUGACAUCUCUGACAAUCCUAGAGAUAGGACGUCCCCUUCGGGGGCAGAGUGACAGGUGGUGCAUGGUUGUCGUCAGCUCCUGUCCUGAGAAGUUGGGGUUAAGUCCCGCAACGAGCGCAACCCUUGAUCUUAUUUGCCACCAUUCAGUUGGGCACCCCAAGGGGAGGGACGGCCGGGGAAAAACCCCAGA
rnacentral:rRNA from 1 species